AACUUUUGGCAAUGGAUCUCUGGGCUCUCGCAUCGAUGAAGAACGCAGCGAAAUGCGAUACGUAAUGUGAAUUGCAGAAUUCAGUGAAUCAUCGAAUCUUUGAACGCACCUUGCGCCCCUUGGUAUUCCGAGGGGCACACCCGUUUGAGUGUCGUGAAAAUCUCAACCUUCUCGGUUUCUUCUGGACACCGAAGGAGGCUUGGACUUUGGAGGUGUUUGCUGGCGUUUCCCGCCAGCUCCCGUCACAUGGAUUAGUGGGGUGCUCUUUGCCGAUCGUCGCCUUUUGAUCUGAUGGUUCCAUCUCUUGGUUUAUGCCUCUGUUAAUUUUUGCGCCCGUUUGUCACAGGCGCGCCGAGACAACGGUUGAGAGUGUCAAUCACCUAUGAACCCAUGAACCCUUGUCGUCAUACCGGGUGAGCUUACGCGCUUAACUUAGCCAUAGAAAUAAGCGGCGGCU
rnacentral:misc_RNA from 1 species